GCAGUGAUGAACUUUCUGGCAUUGAUCUGCUGAAAUGAUGUUGCUGUUUUGUCCUCUAAGAAGUUCUGAGCGA
ensembl:snoRNA SNORD61 small nucleolar RNA, C/D box 61